rnacentral:rRNA from 1 species
UCGAGCGGACAGAAGGGAGCUUGCUCCCGGAUGUUAGCGGCGGACGGGUGAGUAACACGUGGGUAACCUGCCUGUAAGACUGGGAUAACUCCGGGAAACCGGAGCUAAUACCGGAUAGUUCCUUGAACCGCAUGGUUCAAGGAUGAAAGACGGUUUUCGGCUGUCACUUACAGAUGGACCCGCGGCGCAUUAGCUAGUUGGUGGGGUAAUGGCUCACCAAGGCGACGAUGCGUAGCCGACCUGAGAGGGUGAUCGGGCCACACUGGGACUGAGACACGGCCCAGACUCCUACGGGAGGCAGCAGUAGGGAAUCUUCCGCAAUGGACGAAAGUCUGACGGAGCAACGCCGCGUGAGUGAUGAAGGUUUUCGGAUCGUAAAGCUCUGUUGUUAGGGAAGAACAAGUGCGAGAGUAACUGCUCGCACCUUGACGGUACCUAACCAGAAAGCCACGGGCUAACUACGUGCCAGCAGCCGCGGUAAUACGUAGGUGGCAAGCGUUGUCCGGAAUUAUUGGGCGUAAAGGGCUCGCAGGCGGUUUCUUAAGUCUGAUGUGAAAGCCCCCGGCUCAACCGGGGAGGGUCAUUGGAAACUGGGAAACUUGAGUGCAGAAGAGGAGAGUGGAAUUCCACGUGUAGCGGUGAAAUGCGGUAGAGAUGUGGAGGAACACCAGUGGCGAAGGCGACUCUCUGGUCUGUAACUGACGCUGAGGAGCGAAAGCGUGGGGAGCGAACAGGAUUAGAUACCCUGGUAGUCCACGCCGUAACGAUGAGUGCUAAGUGU